UUUUACCUCAGAGUGGAGCUGAAGAUGGAUAAACAAGGGAGGAUGGCAUAAUUUAUAACCCAGCACAUGGAUAGAGGAACUGUAAAUUGUAGUCUGGAUGUCCCCGGCGCUGUCGACGAAGGAACUGAUGGGCUAGGUGACUGUACCAGUGUCCCCAGAGAAAAUCGCAGCCUCGCAGCAUGGAUUUAAAUGCAUGUGCAUGCAUGUAGAGACAUGAAAAAAGGUUUCUGACCAUUUUACACAGGAAGUCUGUCACUUUGCUGGAUCGGGCUUGAUUGCAGCUUGUGUUUUCAGCUCCAGUUCAACACCCAUUUCCUGACUAGUGAGACAGCAUGGCCAAAGCAGCUGCAUGCAGAAUUUUCUUUUUACUGUGAAAGCAAGCCCCCUCUGUUUUAACUCCUUCCAGUUCUGAAUGCUCUGUGCUUUGCUAGGACCGAUUGUGGGGUUUUGUUUUCUUCUUCUACAAAUCCCUGUAAACACAGCUGUAUUCAGUAAUGGCAAAAAAAUUCUAUCCUGUAAAUAGAAAUCUGAUCAAUUUAAUCAAAAUAAAUGUAUCCCAGAUGACUUUGAGACCAGCUGGCUACCACAGGCUUCAGAUGCUAAAUGCUCAGUGGAGAUGAAUACAGUGUUAUAUUUACAUGUUUCAGAGUGCCGGGAUCAGCCUAUAAUUUGCAAAAAGAAAUUAUUUUCUAAAGACGAGAGGUGGUCCUACCAGCUCACAGCUGAUGGUUAGGUACAGGUGUAAAUGCUGUUCAUGUGAUUUGGAGAUUUGCAGUGUUGCAUUUCAAAAGGCAUGUGCCAUGAGGCAGAGUAUGGCUGUUGUUAGUAUGGAGAAUGCUUGCUUCUAACUUGCUGUUAUGGAGAGCCGAAUGCCCUCUGAAUAGCUUCUAGUGAGGUUGAGGGCAGGCACUUGAGGCUUGUUGUAGAUUCAGAUGUGAGAGCUGGGGUUCUCCAACCCCAGCUCAGUGGAGUCAGCUCAACCCUGGGGGUGAGGAGGUUUCCCAGUUGUCAUGGGGAGCUCUUCUGGGACGCCUGUCUGGCCCUUCCACUGUUUGUUACUAAUUCUACAAAGGCAGCUCUGUGUGUUGGAUUAUGUUUGGCCAGCUGUUGAUGCAUUCCUGCGGAUGGGGCUGGGUGAGGAUCUUAUUACUGUACUUUCAAACUGUAGAUCUGUGUGCAGGGAUAGUACAGAAGGAAAGGAAAAGCAAUAAGUUACAGAAUCUGAUCAUUCUUACCUCUUUCUCCAGAUAGUCCUAGAGUGAAUCCAGAAAGGCUUUAAAGUGAAAAGAGGAAAGAGAGAGUAAGUGAUUGGGGGUGGGUGGCAUGAGGAGAAGAGAAUGAAACAGAGCAAGCGCACAAGAGAAAAACAGCCUUAGAACUUCAAAGCUGCAUAGACAAGCAGAAUGUCACCAGCUUGUAAUUAGCGGUUCAUGGUUGCGUCAGUGACUGUAUCUAUCCAAGAAUAACUAUGUGAUAUGUGCCACAAAGUGAAGAAGAUAGUCAUAACUAAGUUAUCAAACCCAGUUCAAACAAGGGCAAAUGGAUUAAGAAAUUUUCUGUUUGUAAAUCAAAUACUGAUGGAUUACACAGAUAAGACUUAACUGAAUUCUGCGUAAUUGAAGGCUGAAUUAUCAAUUUGUCAGGGGGGAUAUGUUCAUUAAAUGAAACUGUGAACGCUUAAACAUGCAAAUUAAUCAUGCGAGAAAAUAUCAGUGCAAGCUCUAUCAAUACAAGAUGUUUUACUAAAUAGCCAAAAAUGGCACUGCCAGUCUCCUAUCUCUGUAUCCACACAUAAAUUUUUUUGUUUGUUUUUGUGCAUUUCAAUAGAGAGAAGUCAAAAGUUACAUUCGAGUAAAUAGGGUAAAUUAAAUUCUAAAAUUCCCACUUUAGAAUUUAAAAAACAACUAAGGAGUUUUGAUUUUUGGUGAUCUCCCGAGUUUAAACCUUGAAGGAGCUUUUGCUGUCUUGAAGCCAAACAGCA
rnacentral:lncRNA from 1 species